GCCAGGGUGGCACAGUGGUUUGAGUGUUUGACUAUGACUCUGGAGACCAGAGUUUAAUUCCCCACUUGGCCA
rnacentral:tRNA from 1 species